GGUUUAGUAGUGUAGAGGUUAUCACACGGGAUUUUGACCAAAAACAUUACUUCCCGUAACCUAGGUUCGAGUCCUGGCUAGACCU